UUGCAUGGUGAUCCUCAGCGGUGCCUCCACUGUCUUCAGCAGCAGCAUCUACGGCAUGACUGGCUCCUUUCCUAUGAGGAACUCCCAGGCGCUGAUAUCAGGAGGAGCCAUGGGCGGGACGGUCAGCGCCGUGGCCUCAUUAGUGGACUUGGCUGCAUCCAGUGAUGUGAGGAACAGCGCCCUGGCCUUCUUCCUGACGGCCACCAUCUUCCUCGUGCUCUGCAUGGGACUCUACCUGCUGCUGUCCAGGCUGGAGUAUGCCAGGUGAAGGUACUACAUGAGGCCUGUUCUUGCGGCCCAUGUGUUUUCUGGUGAAGAGGAGCUUCCUCAGGACUCCCCCAGUGCCCCUUCGGUGGCCUCCAGAUUCAUUGAUUCCCACACACCCCCUCUCCGCCCCAUCCUGAAGAAGACGGCCAGCCUGGGCUUCUGUGUCACCUACGUCUUCUUCAUCACCAGCCUCAUCUACCCUGCCGUCUGCACCAACAUCGAGUCCCUCAACAAGGGCUCGGGCUCACUGUGGACCACCAAGUUCUUCAUCCCCCUCACUACCUUCCUCCUGUACAACUUUGCUGACCUAUGUGGCCGGCAGCUUACCGCCUGGAUCCAGGUGCCAGGGCCCAAUAGCAAGGCGCUCCCAGGGUUCGUGCUCCUCCGGACCUGCCUCAUCCCCCUCUUCGUGCUCUGUAACUACCAGCCCCGCGUCCACCUGAAGACUGUGGUCUUCCAGUCCGAUGUGUACCCUGCACUCCUCAGCUCCCUGCUGGGGCUCAGCAACGGCUACCUCAGCACCCUGGCCCUCCUCUACGGGCCUAAGAUUGUACCCAGGGAGCUGGCUG
rnacentral:sRNA from 1 species